rnacentral:tRNA from 1 species
AAGAUACUAGUAUAAAUGAUAAUACCCUGCCUUGUCGAGGCAGAGCUGCUGGUUAAACCCCUGCGUAACUUA